rnacentral:tRNA from 1 species
GGUAAAAUAGUUUAAUCAAAAAAUACCAAUUUGUGGCAUUGGAGAUACUUGUUGUAGUUUUUGCCC